CCCACCCAACUCAGCCUGGACCCUCUGCAGGCUGCUCCUUCGGGGCCUUUUCCACCCCCAUGUGCUCAAAGCAUGCUUGCCUGGCUCCUCACCCUGUAAGACUAGGAGGGGGGACAACACAGCAAAACCCACCCCCACGACCAGGCUCAGGUCCCUGCCUGGAGCCAGCCACUGGUCCCUCUGCUUGGGUCUGGAUGGGGCCUGAUGUGGGAAGGAGGAACCUGCCCUUUGAAGCUGGUGGGGGGCCGGGCCCCCCACCAUCUUCAAGUUCCCCUGUGGGGGGAGAGGCCGCCACAAAGGCUGUGACAGUGAGCCAGGCCAGGCACACAAUGGGGCGGGCCGCUCAGGGGCUAGGGGCCGCUGCAUGGAAAUGAGGCCACAGCCCCUUCCCUGCCGCCCCCGCCCCCGCCCCCGCCCCCUUGCUCCCUCCUCCCUCCUCCCUGGCCAGCCCAGCCCCUCAAGGAGAGACAGACCAACGGAGGGCCCAGCAACCCCAGAGCAUCUCCACCCUGAUCCUGGGAUGAUGGGUCCUCGGGCCAGAGAGCUGUGGAGCCGCUGGACUGCGGGCGCUUGCGAGGUUGCUGCGGGAGCCCAGAGUUGUGCGGCCAUCACGACACCCACCACCUCGGGCGGAAACCUGGUGCCACAGCCCUCGCUCUGCCCGCCUCGGCCCGCGGCUCUCACAGUGUGGUGUUUUCCAGAUUCAUCCGUGCUGUGGCCGUGUCAGCGCUUCAUCCCUGCUAAUGGCUGAGCAGUAUUCCGGCGUGCAAAUACACCGCGUGUUAGACAUUGGCGUUUGGCCAUCAUGAACAAAGCUGCUGUGGACGUUCGUGUACAAGUGUUCCUGUGGGCGUGUUUUCGUUUCUCUUGGACAUACAGCUCCGAGUGGAGUUGCUGGGUCACAGGGACGUAACCGACAGCAUGGACGUAAUGAAUGAACAGAUGGGGACCCGGAGCAGAAGCAUGCAAGCUUGAGCUCGUUUGCGGAGGGGCCAGCAGCAGACUGGG